rnacentral:rRNA from 1 species
AUGGCGGCCACGGCGAGUGCUGAUGACUACGACGACGGAUGGAGACACAAAAAAGGAGGAAUCUGCAGAGGGGCUCACCCCGGUGCUCGUGGACGAGUUUGUGAGGGCGUGGGAGCUCGGGAGGCGGCGGAUCUGACAACAAACGACGACAGCUGUGGCGGGGAAGACGGCUCGAUCCUGAAGUUUGACGGCGCCCCGGCUUGA